AUUGAACGCUGGCGGCAGGCCUAACACAUGCAAGUCGAACGAGUGGCGGACGGGUGAGUAAUGUAUGGGAAUCUGCCUGAUGGAGGGGGAUAACUACUGGAAACGGUAGCUAAUACCGCAUACCAUCGGAUGUGCCCAGAUGGGAUUAGCUAGUAGGUGGGGUAACGGCUAACCUAGGCGACGAUCCCUAGCUGGUCUGAGAGGAUGACCAGCCACACUGGAACUGAGACACGGUCAAGACUCCUACGGGAGGCAGCAGUGGGGAAUAUGGCACAAUGGGCGCAAGCCUGAUGCAGCCAUGCCGCUUGUAUGAAGAAGGCCUUCGGGUUGUAAAGUACUUUCAGUGGGGAGGCGUUACCGACAGAAGAAGCACCGGCUAACUCCGUGCCAGCCGCCGCGGUAAUUC
rnacentral:rRNA from 1 species